AAAUUGAAAUAUAAUUUCCUGUCAAUAUGCAGAUCUACAUAGUAUGUCCUUAUUAUCUAAAAAGUUUCAUGAAAUUCUGUUGUGUGGUAUCAGAGGAGUUGCGAUGACAAACUGUUGCAGUAGUACAUUGAAGCAAAUAAGUUCAAAGGGGCAUAACUCCUAGAAAAAAAAUUGAACCGUAAUUUCCUGUCGAUAUGCACAUCUACAUAGUAUGUCCUUAUUAUCUAAAAAGGGUUUCAUGAAAUUCUGUUGUGUGGUAUCAGAGGAGUUGCGAUGACAAACUGUUGCAGUAGUACAUUGAAGCAAAUAAGUUCAAAGGGGCGUAACUCCUAGAAAAAAAAUUGAACCGUAAUUUCCUGUCGAUAUGCACAUCUACAUAGUAUGUCCUUAUUAUCUAAAAAGGUUUCAUGAAAUUCUGUUGUGUGGUAUCAGAGGAGUUGCGAUGACAAACUGUUGCAGUAGUACAUUGAAGCAAAUAAGUUCAAAGGGACGUAACUCCUAGAAAAAAAAUUGAACCGUAAUUUCCUGUCGAUAUGCACAUCUACAUAGUAUGUCCUUAUUAUCUAAAAAGGUUUCAUGAAAUUCUGUUGUGUGGUAUCAGAGGAGUUGCGAUGACAAACUGUUGCAGUAGUACAUUGAAGCAAAUAAGUUCAAAGGGGCGUAACUCCUAGAAAAAAAAUUGAACCGUAAUUUCCUGUCGAUAUGCACAUCUACAUAGUAUGUCCUUAUUAUCUAAAAAGGUUUCAUGAAAUUCUGUUGUGUGGUAUCAGAGGAGUUGUGAUGACAAACUGUUGCAGUAGUACAUUGAAGCAAAUAAGUUCAAAGGGGCGUAACUCCUAGAAAAAAAAUUGAACCGUAAUUUCCUGUCGAUAUGCACAUCUACAUAGUAUGUCCUUAUUAUCUAAAAAGGUUUCAUGAAAUUCUGUUGUGUGGUAUCAGAGGAGUUGCGAUGACAAACUGUUGCAGUAGUACAUUGAAGCAAAUAAGUUCAAAGGGACGUAACUCCUAGAAAAAAAAUUGAACCGUAAUUUCCUGUCGAUAUGCACAUCUACAUAGUAUGUCCUUAUUAUCUAAAAAGGUUUCAUGAAAUUCUGUUGUGUGGUAUCAGAGGAGUUGCGAUGACAAACUGUUGCAGUAGUACAUUGAAGCAAAUAAGUUCAAAGGGGCGUAACUCCUAGAAAAAAAAUUGAACCGUAAUUUCCUGUCGAUAUGCACAUCUACAUAGUAUGUCCUUAUUAUCUAAAAAGUUUCAUGAAAUUCUGUUGUGUGGUAUCAGAGGAGUUGCGAUGACAAACUGUUGCAGUAGUACAUUGAAGCAAAUAAGUUCAAAGGGGCGUAAAUCCUAGAAAAAAAAUUGAACCAUAAUUUCCUGUCGAUAUGCACAUCUACAUAGUAUGUCCUUAUUAUCUAAAAAAGGUUUCAUGAAAUUCUGUUGUGUGGUAUCAGAGGAGUUGCGAUGACAAACUGUUGCAGUAGUACAUUGAAGCAAAUAAGUUCAAAGGGGCGCAACUCCUAGAAAAAAAAUUGAAUCGCAAUUUCCUGUCGAUAUGCACAACUACAUAGUAUG